rnacentral:tRNA from 1 species
UUGGGGAUUAGCCAAGUCGGUAAGGCACAUGACUUUGACUCAUGUAUGCGUAGGUUCGAUUCCUAUCACCAGC